CGGAGGAAAAGAAACUAACAAGGAUUCCCCUAGUAACGGCGAGUGAAGCGGGAUGAGCUCAAAUUUAAAAUCUGGCGGCCUCAGGUCGUCCGAGUUGUAGUCUAGAGAAUCGUUUUCCGCGUUGGCCUGUGUACAAGUCCCUUGGAACAGGGCGUCAUAGAGGGUGAGAAUCCCGUCCUUGACACAGACUACCAAUGCUUUGUGAUGCGAUCUCGAAGAGUCGAGUUGUUUGGGAAUGCAGCUCAAAAUGGGUGGUAAAUUCCAUCUAAAGCUAAAUAUUGGCGAGAGACCGAUAGCGAACAAGUACCGUGAGGGAAAGAUGAAAAGCACUUUGGAAAGAGAGUUAAACAGUACGUGAAAUUGUUAAAAGGGAAACGAUUGAAGUCAGUCAUGCUUUCCGAGACUCAGCCGAUUCUGUCGGUGUACUUCUCGGUUGGCAGGCCAGCAUCAGUUUCGAUCUGUGGAAAAGGUUGGAGGGAACGUGGCAUCCUCGGAUGUGUUAUAGCCCUUCUUCGAAUACAUAGAGCGGGACUGAGGAACGCAGCGCGCCUUUUAUUAGGUUGGCCCUCGGGUACAUACGCGCUUAGGAUGCUGGCAUAAUGGCUUUAAACGACCCGUCUUG
rnacentral:rRNA from 1 species